rnacentral:rRNA from 1 species
GACGAACGCUGGCGGCGUGCCUAAUACAUGCAAGUUGAGCGCUGAAGGUUGGUACUUGUACCAACUGGAUGAGCAGCGAACGGGUGAGUAACGCGUGGGGAAUCUGCCUUUGAGCGGGGGACAACAUUUGGAAACGAAUGCUAAUACCGCAUAAAAACUUUAAACACAAGUUUUAAGUUUGAAAGAUGCAAUUGCAUCACUCAAAGAUGAUCCCGCGUUGUAUUAGCUAGUUGGUGAGGUAAAGGCUCACCAAGGCGAUGAUACAUAGCCGACCUGAGAGGGUGAUCGGCCACAUUGGGACUGAGACACGGCCCAAACUCCUACGGGAGGCAGCAGUAGGGAAUCUUCGGCAAUGGACGGAAGUCUGACCGGGCAACGCCGCGUGAGUGAAGAAGGUUUUCGGAUCGUAAAACUCUGUUGGUAGAGAAGAACGUUGGUGAGAGUGGAAAGCUCAUCAAGUGACGGUAACUACCCAGAAAGGGACGGCUAACUACGUG